UGGCAGUCAGAGGCGAUGAAGGGCGUGCUAAUCUGCGAUAAGCGCCGGUAAGGUGAUAUGAACCGUUAUAACCGGCGAUACCCGAAUGGGGAAACCCAGUGUGACUCGUCACACUAUCAUUAACUGAAUCCAUAGGUUAAUGAGGCGAACCGGGGGAACUGAAACAUCUAAGUACCCCGAGGAAAAGAAAUCAACCGAGAUUCCCCCAGUAGCGGCGAGCGAACGGGGAGGAGCCCAGAGCCUGAAUCAGCAUGUGUGUUAGUGGAAGCGUCUGGAAAGGCGCGCGAUACAGGGUGACAGCCCCGUACACAAAAGCGCAUGUGCUGUGAGCUCGAUGAGUAGGGCGGGACACGUGGUAUCCUGUCUGAAUAUGGGGGGACCAUCCUCCAAGGCUAAAUACUCCUGACUGACCGAUAGUGAACCAGUACCGUGAGGGAAAGGCGAAAAGAACCCCGGCGAGGGGAGUGAAAAAGAACCUGAAACCGUGUACGUACAAGCAGUGGGAGCACAGGUUUACCUGUGUGACUGCGUACCUUUUGUAUAAUGGGUCAGCGACUUAUAUUCUGUAGCAAGGUUAACCGUAUAGGGGAGCCGUAGGGAAACCGAGUCUUAACCGGGCGUUAAGUUGCAGGGUAUAGACCCGAAACCCGGUGAUCUAGCCAUGGGCAGGUUGAAGGUUGGGUAACACUAACUGGAGGACCGAACCGACUAAUGUUGAAAAAUUAGCGGAUGACCUGUGGCUGGGGGUGAAAGGCCAAUCAAACCGGGAGAUAGCUGGUUCUCCCCGAAAGCUAUUUAGGUAGCGCCUCGUGAAUUCAUCUCCGGGGGUAGAGCACUGUUUCGGCUAGGGGGCCAUCCCGGCUUACCAACCCGAUGCAAACUGCGAAUACCGGAGAAUGUUAUCACGGGAGACACACGGCGGGUGCUAACGUCCGUCGUGAAGAGGGAAACAACCCAGACCGCCAGCUAAGGUCCCAAAGUCAUGGUUAAGUGGGAAACGAUGUGGGAAGGCCCAGACAGCCAGGAUGUUGGCUUAGAAGCAGCCAUCAUUUAAAGAAAGCGUAAUAGCUCACUGGUCGAGUCGGCCUGCGCGGAAGAUGUAACGGGGCUAAACCAUGCACCGAAGCUGCGGCAGCGACGCUGAUGCGUUGUUGGGUAGGGGAGCGUUCUGUAAGCCUGUGAAGGUGGCCUGUGAGGGUUGCUGGAGGUAUCAGAAGUGCGAAUGCUGACAUAAGUAACGAUAAAGCGGGUGAAAAGCCCGCUCGCCGGAAGACCAAGGGUUCCUGUCCAACGUUAAUCGGGGCAGGGUGAGUCGACCCCUAAGGCGAGGCCGAAAGGCGUAGUCGAUGGGAAACGGGUUAAUAUUCCCGUACUUGGUGUUACUGCGAAGGGGGGACGGAGAAGGCUAUGUUGGCCGGGCGACGGUUGUCCCGGUUUAAGCGUGUAGGUGUGUGUUCCAGGUAAAUCCGGUUCACUUUAACACUGAGGCGUGAUGACGAGGCACUACGGUGCUGAAGCAACAAAUGCCCUGCUUCCAGGAAAAGCCUCUAAGCAUCAGGUAACAUCAAAUCGUACCCCAAACCGACACAGGUGGUCAGGUAGAGAAUACCAAGGCGCUUGAGAGAACUCGGGUGAAGGAACUAGGCAAAAUGGUGCCGUAACUUCGGGAGAAGGCACGCUGACACGUAGGUGAAGUGAUUUACUCAUGGAGCUGAAGUCAGUCGAAGAUACCAGCUGGCUGCAACUGUUUAUUAAAAACACAGCACUGUGCAAACACGAAAGUGGACGUAUACGGUGUGACGCCUGCCCGGUGCCGGAAGGUUAAUUGAUGGGGUCAGCGCAAGCGAAGCUCCUGAUCGAAGCCCCGGUAAACGGCGGCCGUAACUAUAACGGUCCUAAGGUAGCGAAAUUCCUUGUCGGGUAAGUUCCGACCUGCACGAAUGGCGUAAUGAUGGCCAGGCUGUCUCCACCCGAGACUCAGUGAAAUUGAACUCGCUGUGAAGAUGCAGUGUACCCGCGGCAAGACGGAAAGACCCCGUGAACCUUUACUAUAGCUUGACACUGAACAUUGAGCCUUGAUGUGUAGGAUAGGUGGGAGGCUUUGAAGCGUGGACGCCAGUCUGCAUGGAGCCGGCCUUGAAAUACCACCCUUUAAUGUUUGAUGUUCUAACGUGGACCCGUGAUCCGGGUUGCGGACAGUGUCUGGUGGGUAGUUUGACUGGGGCGGUCUCCUCCUAAAGAGUAACGGAGGAGCACGAAGGUUGGCUAAUCCUGGUCGGACAUCAGGAGGUUAGUGCAAUGGCAUAAGCCAGCUUGACUGCGAGCGUGACGGCGCGAGCAGGUGCGAAAGCAGGUCAUAGUGAUCCGGUGGUUCUGAAUGGAAGGGCCAUCGCUCAACGGAUAAAAGGUACUCCGGGGAUAACAGGCUGAUACCGCCCAAGAGUUCAUAUCGACGGCGGUGUUUGGCACCUCGAUGUCGGCUCAUCACAUCCUGGGGCUGAAGUAGGUCCCAAGGGUAUGGCUGUUCGCCAUUUAAAGUGGUACGCGAGCUGGGUUUAGAACGUCGUGAGACAGUUCGGUCCCUAUCUGCCGUGGGCGCUGGAGAACUGAGGGGGGCUGCUCCUAGUACGAGAGGACCGGAGUGGACGCAUCACUGGUGUUCGGGUUGUCAUGCCAAUGGCACUGCCCGGUAGCUAAAUGCGGAAGAGAUAAGUGCUGAAAGCAUCUAAGCACGAAACUUGCCCCGAGAUGAGUUCUCCCUGAGACUUAGAGUCUCCUGAAGGAACGUUGAAGACGACGACGUUGAUAGGCCGGGUGUGUAAGCGCAGCGAUGCGUUGAGCUAACCGGUACUAAUGAACCGUGAGGCUUAACCUUACAACGCCGAAG
rnacentral:rRNA from 1 species